UUGAAGGAUUUGUAAGAAAUGUUUGAUGGAACUGAUUCGUUGUUUAAUACCGAGUCACUUCCCUUAAACAUUUCUUACAAAUCCUUCAA